GGGGCUGUAGGUCAGUGGUUGAGCACUUGCCUCAGACGUAUGAGGCGCUGGGUUCCAUCCUCAGCACCACA
rnacentral:tRNA from 1 species